AAUUUAUCUUGCUUUAUUUACUGCACCCUGAACACCUUUGAGGGUUUAUAAUUUCUGGGGAUACCCUGGACAGCCUGAGUGAAGUGUCUGCCAAAAAUCACAUCGGCCGAGUGCCCUGUUAUUUUUUUCCACUGCUGUUUUUAAAAAGUGCCAUCGGGGAGGCUUAACUACAACAAUCCUCUUUCAGUGUUGUCAAUUUUCCAUGAGUUCAGGCAGGUCACAGUACAGAUCUCAGAUACACAGAAAAUUGUAGUGGAAACCAGGUUAAAAGGAAAGGCAAUGUUGUAUAUACUUAAUAUCAUAGAAAUCAAGUACAAAGGACAGACCGCUGAAUUGUAGAGUAGAAUCAAGUUACCCAUCUUAACUGGAAACAGAAUUCAAAUUACCUUGUGCCUGGUGACUGGAGAGGAAUGAGGAGGCCUUAAAAAUAGACACCACUGUUUUUGGCCUUUGUUUAAAAUAGUAAUUCCCAAGACAAAAUUUCUCUUACUGUCUUUAACAGGCCUGGAUCAAACGAAGCAAAUCUGUCCAGUUAAGGAAAAUCUUUAGGGAAAACCUAAUUCCUUUGUUUUCUCAGCAAAGACUUUGGAUAAGAGUCUACGUUGACUUUAGCCCGUGCAUUUGGAGAACUGAACGACGCAUUUACUGGGAGCCAGCAAGAGUUUCCUCACAUGAUCUAAGCUGUGGAAUUCCUUUGUUUCAUGCCUCUCAGAUAGAAGAAUAACAAGCAUUGUACUGUCCACAAAUUCACUGACCAUUCAGUCUCCAUUUUAACAUACUGCAUGUACUGUGUGUUGUGGGCGGAGGAGGGGGGAGAAGGGGGGGGAGAAAGGAGGAAACUGUGUGUAUAUGGUUACUAUUAAUUACCUGGCUAAUGUGUAUUAUUAUGAACAAAUUAGAAAAUUAGAACUGGGUUACCUGAAAAUUAUUAAAUAUAUUAGCCUUAAUGGACUAAUCAUAUCAAAAGGCGGAUACUAACUACUGUAUAUGAAAUAGAUAAACGACAAGGUCCUACAGUAGAGCACAGGGAACUACAUUCAGUAUCCCGUAGUGACCUAUGAAAAGGAAUACAUGUAUGUGUACAUAUGACUGAAACAUUAUGCUGUACACCAGAAAUUGCCACAACAUUGCAAACUCAUGAUACUUAGUUAAAAAAGGCAGUCUCUUUCCACGAAAUAAUUUCCCUCCCGUACUUCUCCCUACAAUAUUCCUAUAUUCAUCACAGCACAGACUUACAACUGCCCUGCAGUCUCUGUUGUUCCUGCUUUGAACAGAAUGAUUAGGAAAUGGCCAAGGGAAAUAUGACUCAACGUGGAGUUAUUAGGGCCCAAAGAAGCUUUAAUCUAUCGAGGCUAAUAAAAACAUGGAUUCUUCUUUUUUUUUUUUUUNUUUUCUGUAUGACAUAAGAUCCUCCUAUUGUAAUAAAAAAUGGAACAUCAAAAAACGGUGACAUGAAGCCAAAGGGGAUAUGAAAAAAUGAAGAAAAAUACACUUUAUUGUAUUCCAUGCUGAUACCCAUAUUAAUUCGCUCUACCUCCAAAGCCCGCUCCUUAGUCACCCUCUUCAAGUGCUAAUUUUCAGGCAGCCACCUGAGCCCACGUUACCGUCCCUGGACUAGGAGACCUUUGUUUCAUCCCUAGCUCUAAAGCUUUGUGGCCAAAGGAAGUUUAUUUAUGCCAUCUGUAAGAGAGGGAGCAAAGAACUGCUCUUUAUCUUGGGUUCCACAAGGCUACUCAGGAAAUUGAUGAAAAAUCUAUUUCAGUGGCUGCUGAGCUCUGAAUGUUGAACUCCUAAUGGCUGCUAAUGGGAGAUCUGAUUUCAGUCUUCCUGUGUCCCUUACCCUCAAGUGGUCAGCCAGUGUUGAAGAGGGUGAGGAAGGUGGGGGAGUUGUGAAUAAUGUUGCUGGGUGAACCCAGGGGUUGGGUCUGAUGAUGAGUCCUCGCUUGAAAAUGCCCGAGUCGGAAGAACCUACGAGCCACAGCACAGGAAGGCCCCAGAAGCUUCCUAG
rnacentral:lncRNA from 1 species